rnacentral:lncRNA from 1 species
UGCCUGUUCUUGUUAGUAAACAUUGAAAAAAGUUUCUAUAGGAAAUUGAAAUUCAGGACAUCUUUUGUUGUGUUUGAAGAAAAAGGUUCCAAUCAUUUAACCCUCCAAAUAAAUAGAUGGCGCAAAUGUCUCCUGUGUAUAAUAAUUGAAAGUCAUCUAAUCUGGAUAUCCUUGGUUGUUCGCAAGAAAAGAAAAAAUAUACGGAUAUCCUUGGUGUUAGAACAUAGAAUCGUUCUAGGAGUAAAUCAGUGGGGUAACCAUAGUCUAUUCGGUAUAAAAGAGUGCACUUAUGAAAGAUCUAGGGGAAAAAGGGAAGUAGUGGGGUUCAUACCAUUGGAGGAAGUAGGAGGAGGCGCGGUGGAAGAUCCGGAUCUGGAGGCGGCCAUCUCUGGUUCGCUGAUGCAGAUCUACGCACGGGCAGCGACGGGUGGGGAAGACUCGGCGGUGCAGUGCAGUGGCGGCGCGGAGGGCUUCCCGUCACUGGCUGCGCCCUUCUCUAUAUCGGGUUAGGGUUUCGGUGGGGAGUGCGGCUCACGGUGAACCUCGUACUGAGAGCCGGCGGCCCCCACCUGUAUUUAUAGCGUAGUGUGACAGUGGCCCUCCAGCCAUAGAUGGGCUGGGCGCCCCCGAUCAGGGCGCAGGUCAAGGCCCGAUUAGGCCUUUGGGCCUAAUCGGUGGGAGAUCAUUUCAACAUUCUCCCCCUUGAUCUCAACCUUUCUUUAACCUUUAAACUUUAACUUUAAACACUUUACUUUUUACUCGUUCCAUCACAGAUGAGUGCAUAGAGCAUGCUUCAUCAUCACAGUCUAUCGCCGAUAGAUUUGACAGCUACAAUGCAGGUCUCUGAUCUGAAACAGUAACUUUAACUUUGGGCUAUUUAUAGUUCAGGAAUCAUAGGCUUUCCCUUAAACCCAUGCCGGCUACGUGUUCUCUUAACACAUUGGGUGGUAAACCUUUUGUAAGCGGAUCUGCGAGCAUCUUUUCAGUCCUUAUGUGCUCAAGACUUAUGAUUUGAUCCCGAACUUUAUCCUUCACAACAUAAUACUUUAUGUCAAUGUGUUUGGCAGCACCACUUGACCUAUUGUUGUGAGCAUACUGUAUUGCUGGAUUAUUAUCGCAGUAUAACUUUAGUGGUUUAUCUAUGCUGUCGACCACAACCGGGUAGGAACUUCUUUGACUAGUUCACCUGCCCCGUUGCCUCAUAACAUGCUACAAACUCGGCAUACAUUGUGGACGAUGUAGUGACGGAUUGUUUUGAGCUUUCCCAUGAAAUAGCUCCCUCUGCGAGAGUGAAGACAUAUCUAGACGUGGAUUUUCUAUCAUCUCCCGCAUAAUCAGAAUCCGAGUACCCUUCUAUGUGCAAGGAUUCUGAUAUUCUAUAUGUCAGCAUGAGGCCUUUUGUCCCUUGCAAAUAACGCAAGACUUUCUUUACCAAUUUCCACUGUUCCUGUCCUAGAUUGCUUUGAAAUCUGCCAAGUAACCCGGUAACAAACGCUAAGUCAGGGCGCGUACAGACUUGAGCAUACUGUAAGCUUCCGACAGCAGAAGCAUAUGGAACCACUUUCAUUUGAUCGAGCUCGAAUUGGUUCCUGGGGCAUUGAAAAUCCCCAUAUCUGUCGCCCUUGACAAUGGGUGCAGGUGAUGCACUACAUUUGUGCAUAUUAUAUUUCUUUAGAAUCUUUUCUAUAUAUGUCUAUUGUGACAGUCCUAGUACCCCCUUUUCUCUAUCUCGGUGAAUUUCUAUGCCUAGAACAAAAGAAGCUUCACCAAGAUCUUUCAUGUCAAACUUCGAGGACAAAAACUUCUUUGUCUCCAAUAGUAGACUGAUAUCACUGCUAGCAAGUAAGAUAUCAUCCACAUACAAGAUUAGAAAGAUAAACUUUCCAUUCUUAAACUUUGAAUAUACACAGUUGUCCUCAAUGUUUUCUUUAAACCCAAAAUGCUUUAUGGUUUUGUCAAACUUCAAGUACCACUGUCUUGAAGCUUGCUUCAACCCAUAGAUCGAUUUCUUUAAGCGACAUCCCAUCUGUUUUCUGCCUUCCAUGACAAAACCUUUCGGUUGUGCCAUGUAAACAUUUUCCUCCAAAUCCCCAUUUAGGAACGCUGUCUUUACAUCCAUCUGAUGCAACUCUAAAUCAUAAUGUGCUACUAAAGCCAUUAUGAUUUUGAAGGAAUCUUUACAUGAGACUGGAGAAAAUGUCUCAUUGUAAUCAAUUCCCUCCCUUUGUGUGAAACCUUUCGCCACAAGUCGCACUUUAUACCUUUCAAUAUUCCCUUGGGAGUCACAUUUAGUCUUGUAGACCCAUUUAUAGCCUACUGUUUUGGCUCCUUUAGGAAUAGGUUCUAAGUCCCAAACUUCGUUGGACCUCAUUGAUUCCAUUUCAUCUUCCAUGGCUUUAAGCCACUUCGAUGAAUGUCGCUUCUCAUGGCUUCUUCAAAUGAGGUGGGAUCACCCUCCAUUUGAGCUUCUUCUAUGUUAUACACCUCAUAAUCAUCCGGAAUAGCUGAUCUUCUAACUCUUUGAGAUCUCCUAAGAGUCUCAUUUGUGGGUGCCUCUUGGGGCUGUUGUUGGUCUUCCUCGUGGGCAACAGGUGGUGGUUGCACGGGAUCCUGAAGGACAGGUUCCUCAUGUUCAUCCAUUGUUGCCACGGGGGAACUAACAACAGGUGUUGGCACUGCACUACAGUGGCAGGCACUGUUGGCGCAACAAGAAUAGGUAAUUCAAAAAAUGGAUCCUGAAUCAUCGGAGUGGGUACACAUACCCGCUUCUCUUCAAGAUCAAUUUGUCGAGCUACCAUCCUCCCCCUGAUCAUUUUAUUCUCUAAGAAAACUGCAUGCCUUAUUUCUACAAACUUUGUGUAUCUAUCUGGGCAGUAGAAACGAUAGCCUUUUGACCUUUCAAUAUAGGCAAUAAAAUGGCAACUCACUGUUUUGGGAUCUAGUUUUCCAAUAUUUGGGUAAAUACUUUAGCCUCAGCAGGACUCCCCCAGACACGCAAGUGAUUUAGUGAGGGCACUCUUCCUGUCCACAUCUCAUAUGGUGUUUUGGGCACCGACUUACUUGGUACUCUAUUGAGAAUAUAGAUGGCGAUUUUUAAUGCCUCCAUCCAUAAACUCAAUGGUAAGAUGGAAUAAAUCAUCAUGCUACGCACCAUAUCCAUUAGGGUGCGAUUGUGUCUUUCAGCUACUCCAUUCUGCUGAGGUUUGCCCAGUGUGGAGUACUAGGCUACUAUACCAUUUUCCUGUAAAAACCUUGCAAAAGGUCCAGGAAUUUGGCCAUAUGGGGUGUGCCGACCGUAGUACUCUCCCCCGCGGUCGGAUCGGACUAUCUUUAUCUUUAAAUUAUGCUGAUUUCCAACUUCAGCCUUAAAUAUUUUAAAUUUAUCCAAUGCUUCUGUUCUUUCUUUAUUUGGAUAAAUAUAACCAUAGCGGGAGUAAUCAUCUGUGAAUGUUAUAAAUGAAUCAUAGCCAUCCACGCUUUUCAUAGGAAAGGGGCCACAAAUGUCUGUAUGAAUUAUUUGUAGUAUUCCUGUGCUUCUUUUGGCAUCCUUUUUAAUUUUCUUUAUGUACUUUCCUUUAAUGCAUUCUCUACAUUGGUCUAAAUCUGAGAAUUCUAAUGGAGGAAGAAUGUCAUUCUUCACUAGUCUUUCUAUUCUCCCUCUCGAAAUAUGGCCUAAACGACAGUGCCAUAAUUUCGACGAGGCAUCUUGAGUUCUCUUCCUUUUUCUAUUGGAAACCGCAGACGAGGAUACGUUAUCAAUCACAUCACAUACGGAAUUAACACAUUCACGAAGUGAUAACAAAUAAAGAUCUUGCUUUAAAAAAGCAAUACCAACACUGUCAUUAUUACAGAUAAUCUCACACUUGCCAUUACCAAAAUGGCAGCCAUAACCAUCAUUGUCUAAACAAGACACAAUUAUUAAGUUUCUCUGUAGAGAAGGAACAUAAAGAACAUCUCUAAGCAAAAGAAUAAAACUAUUAGCAAGUUCUAAUGAAACAUCGCCAACAGCUUCCACGUCUACCUGGACUCCAUUUGCCACUUUAAUUUGUCUUUCUUUUCUUUGCGUAGUCCGCGUCGAACGGAAUCCCUGUAAAGAAUUUGCAACAUGAACAGUUGCCCCUGAGUCAAUCCACCAAGUAGAUUUUGCAUAUUGUACAUAAAGGGAUUCAUUUACAAAAGUAAUAAUGUUCUCACCAUUCUUUUCCAUUACCAUCUUUAAAAAUUUAGGGCAAUCUUGCUUGAAAUGCCCCUCUUUGUGGCAGUAGUGACACAGAUCUUUGUUCCCUGGAGGAGGUUGGGCCUUUUUCUGCUAGGGCUACUGAUGCAUGGGUGCUUUGCCCUUUGCCUUUGAAGGAGAGUUGGCAUUGGCAUUGACAUUCUUUCUUUUGUUAUCUCUAACAAAGUUGAGAGUGCCACCAUUGGCGGCCUUGAUCCUGUCUUCCUCUUGAACACACAUCGCUAUACAACGCUCCAGGUUCCAUUUCUCGGGCUGGAUGUUGUAGUUGACAACAAAGGUGUCAAACUCCUUUGGCAACGAAGCAAAAAUCACAUGGACAAGGAACUCUUCCUUGAGCUCUAAGUCCAUUGGUUUAAGCUUGUUGUUUAGAUGGUUCAUCUUUGAUAUGUGUUCCCUAAUGCCAUUGCCAUUGCCAGGCCUAGAGUACCUUUCUGUCAUCAGCUGCUUAAUCAAUUGAGUAGCAUAUGUCUUUGAAGAGCCAUGAAACUAUCUCUUUACUUUCUCAAGGUACUCUGCAAUAGUGUCACACUCUCCAAUUGACCUCACUAUAGUAGGAUCAAUUGUGUUCUUUACCACCGCCAGACAUUUCUUGUUGGCAGUGGCCCACUGUCUCUUUUGAAGAUCAUAGAUUAUUCUUUCACUUGCAUACUUUCCUUCUCUUGUUUCCCAUGCAGCAUCAGUCUCUUCAGCUCCCCUCACUGGUUCCACUGGCUCAGUGGGAAACGGUGUGGAGAUGACCCAGUCGACCUCAGCCAAGAUGAAGGCCAGGUCAAUCUUUUUCUUCCAUUCAGUGUAGUUGUCUCCUUUGAGGGCUGGAAUAUCUUUGAUAUAUGCCAUCAAGGAGACUCCUGAAACACAUUCAAAUUAAGUGAGAACAUAACACAAUAAUUGCAUGAUUUAAUUCCAACUAUGGUCAAAAGUAAAACAUACAAUUAAUCCUUUUACAUUAAUUCUACAACACCUUUGGGCAGAAAUAGAAUUAAUGCAUAUCAAAAAACCAUAAUAACAUUAUAAUAUUGCUAUUAAUCAACUUUGGUCAGAAUAAUAACAAUAUUAUAAUAAUCUAUAAUUUUAUCCAAUUUUAAACUUUUUACACUAAUUCUACAUCACCUUUGGGCAGAAAUAGAAUUAAUGCAUGACAACAAACCCUAAUAAUAUCAUAAUAGUGCUAUAAAUCAACUUUAGUCAGAAUGAUAACAAUAUUAUAAUAAUCUGUAACUUUAUCCAUUUUUCAAAAUUAAAAUCUCCCAUUGGUUUGAAUUUAAUAAUGAAAAAGGAAUAAAUAACUUUAAGUACGCAAUGGAAACUUUAAUAAACUUUUUAAUUUCAUUUUCCAGAAACUAUACAAAAACCUUACUGUUCUCUGAAUAUAAUUAUCUUUGGACAAAAUAUACAGAGAAAAGUAUUAAAAAGUAUGCAAAAACAUUCAAAAUGCAUCAAUUAUAGCUUCUGGAAAAGGAAAAACGAAAAAACUGUGUAGACACUGCAGUUUGACCAAUUUUGUCCCGUCCCCAUGCGCGGCCCGCGCGGCAGCUGGCCUGCAGCCCACUGUGUUCUCGCGCAGGGUGGCAGAGCGGCCCAGCGACGCGCGCGAUUUUUUUUCUCGGCUUUAUUUCGGCCCAGCAAAACUCAUCCCAACGGCCGCCUGCGCGCGCGACUCGCCGUCCAGGCCGCAACGUGGGCCUGGGCCGGCAAAGCUGAAACCCGCCUGGGUCAAAUUUAGCCCAGCAGAGCUUCGGCCGAUCUGCACCGUCCGUUUCGAUCCGACGGCCAUCCACGAUUUUCGCUGGAAUAAAACAGUGGCCGCCAGCUUUUCCCAAAACCCAAACUUCAUUUUCUAUCUCCCUCUUCUUUCCUCUCUGCACGGCGCCGCCCAGGAGCAGCAGCCGGCGCGGCGGCGGCCAUGGAGGCCACCGAGGAGAGGGCCGCCGCCGGACGGAUCCGGCCACUCCCCUGCCUUCCUUUCUAUUUCUUUCUCUAUUUUCCCAUCUCCUCGCCGCACCUAGCAACCAGAGAGCAAGGGAUGGCGCUGCCUCGGCUCCCCUCGCCAGCGCACACGUGCGGUUUCAGUCGCACGCGGCACUGUCGAGGAGCGCCGCGAUGGUGCCCUGUCCGCACGCCGGAGCAGAGAAAAAACCGGUAGGUUCUACCAUGCCUACCUUCUGUUAGGGUUAGGGUUUCGGAAUGUAAAACUUUUUUUUUUAUUUGGAAUGUUCUUUCUUUUCCCUACUGGGUUUGAUAGAUCCGCACCGGAUCGAUCCUUUUCUUUUCCCCAAACUCUAGAUCUACUCGCUAGAGUAGGCGUCUGAUACCAUUGUUAGAAUAUAGAAUCGUUCUAGGAGUAAAUCAGUGGGGUAACCAUUGUCUAUUCGGUAUAAAAGUGUGCACUUAUGAAAGAUCUAGGGGAAAAGGGGAAGUAGUGGGGUUCAUACCAUCGGAGGAAGUAGGAGCAGGCGCGGUGGAAGAUCCGGAUCCGGAGGCGGCCAUCUCUGGUUCGCUGACGCAGAUCUGCACACGGGUAGCGACGGGUGGGGAACACUCGGCGGUGCAGUGCAGUGGCGGCGUGGAGGGUUUCCCAUCACUGGCUGCGCCCUUCUCUAGAUCGGGUUAGGGUUUCGGUGGGGAGUGCGGCUCACGGUGUACCUCGUAGUGAGAGCCGGCGGCCCCCACCUGUAUUUAUAGCGCAGUGUGACAGGGGCCCUCCAGCCAUAGAUGGGCUGGGCGCCCCCGAUCAGGGCGCAGGUCAAGGCCCGAUAGGCCUAAUCGGUGGGAGAUCAUUCCAACACUUGGUUGUGCUCAGAGUUCUUGACUAUGUCCCAUUGGUAUGUAGCUAGCUUAUCUUGGUAUUUCUGUAUACCUGUUUCUGGUUGAUCUCUAAGGCCAAAGACGCUAUUCAUAUGUGCCAUUGGCUUAUUUUAAUAUUGUUUAUUUUUCCCCUUCCAUGGUUUAGUUGUUACUACACCAUGAAUUACUAUAAUCCUAUAUAAGGCACACUGGGGAAAAAUAUAAGCAUAUAAUCCUACAUAAUGCACAUUCGGAAAAAAAAUAUAAGCAUAUAAUCCUACGCAACGCAAAUUCAGUCUUCACUAUUUCAGAAUAGGACAUGAAAAGCAUGAAAGAUCACUGCAUUACUUAAGAAAGUGUCAAAUAUGCAAUUUCCUCUUCAAAAGACAUGGAGGCAGCAACUAUGACAGCUAUAAGGAGCCUAAUAAUUGGAAAUAAAAAAUAAUAAGAAUCCAUAUUAUAUCUGGCAUUCUGCCAAACCGAAGCCCAGCUUACUCUAAAUCCAGCUCAUGUUGUGAAACAUUGUAACUACUGAUAUCAUCUACUAAACAAAGUAGGUAACCUCUACAAAAUAGGUAAUACUAUUAACCAGCUCCAACUGGAGAGAGUAAGUCUAGCAGAUUCAUUAAUUCAAAUGCGAACCAAGACCUUUUUAUGUGGAGUUACUCAUGAUUACUAAAACACAGGAAUAGAGCACACCUUUCUAAUAUAUUCUUGAAAUCGCAGCAAUGCAUGAGAAUUGUUACAUAAUUCUUGAUUACAAAUUUAGGCCUACAUCAAAGUCUAUAUAAAGAAGAAAAUGUAUAUAAACCAUAGAGAUUAAACAAAAAAUAUUUUUGAUGAAAGCACAAAUACUUGAGUGGUCUGCAUAGAAUAAAUUGAAGAAUACAUUAACUGAAUAUAACCAAGGACUUGUCACUCUGCACACAUCAAAAUUCAGAACUCUUGCUAUUCAAAACCCUUUCUAUCCCUGAUUCAAGAACAAGCAAAAUAGCUAUAACCUGUGAGCAUAAAAACAAUUUGACCACAUGACCAAUUUGAAUGAUGAUCCAUACACUACAGGCUUGAUUACCUAUCAUAUAAAAUAAACUUUUAGCUAGAUUAAUAUUAUAAAAUAAAUUUAUUUAGUAAAAACAUGUUAGGACGACUGAGAACCAAGUGUCAUUCAGUUCAUCUUGACUAAAAGCAUGUUAGGCAUCACUAACAGAAUCACUCCACGAGCACAUCACUAAUAGAAUCACUCCACCAACAUCACUGCUACUUUGCAAAUUGAAAUGCAAUCAAACUUAAGCACAAACUUAGCGCACUGCACAUUUAUAUGGAGAUGCCAGGACUGAUUGUACCUUGAUGUUCAGGAUCUAGACUUAGAUCCCGGUGGACUUCAGUGCUCCUUUGGAGACGCCCUCGUCUAGGGAGGUGGCCGCGGUCGGCGCUCUCGCUGACGGAGGGAUUGUGGGGCGUGGAUCGACUGUGCGCAGCGCCGCGAUGGUGCUCGUUGCGGCCGAGAUCACAGCGGUUGCGGCGGCGCUCGAGGACAGCGCUCUCGCUGACGGAGGGAUUAGGGCUCGAGGAUCGACUGCGCGCAGCGCCGCGACGGUGCUCGUUGCGGCCAGAUCACAGUGGUCGUGGGCGGCACUCGAGGACGGCGCUCGUGGACGGAGCUCGAGCGUAGGAUAGGGCUGUCGCGGAUGGCGCGGUGCUCGAGGACGGAGCUGUCGCGGACAGCGCUCGAGGGUCUCGCGGCGGACCGCGCUCUCGCUGAUGGAGGGAUUGGGGUGUGUGGCCGUCCGCUCGAGGUCGGAGCGGUCGCCGACGAAGCUUGUGUGGAGGGCGCUCUUGGGUCUCACGGCGGGCGCGCGACGGGCGCUCGAGGGUCUCGCGACGGGCGCUCGAGGACGGGGCUCGCGCAUGAGGGAGGGGAUCGGGGAGGGGAU